rnacentral:rRNA from 1 species
CCUACGGGAGACAGCAGUGAGGAAUAUUGGUCAAUGGACGAGAGUCUGAACCAGCCAAGUAGCGUGAAGGAUGACUGCCCUAUGGGUUGUAAACUUCUUUUAUAUGGGAAUAAAAUGUUCCACGUGUGGGAUUUUGUAUGUACCAUAUGAAUAAGGAUCGGCUAACUCCGUGCCAGCAGCCGCGGUAAUACGGAGGAUCCGAGCGUUAUCCGGAUUUAUUGGGUUUAAAGGGAGCGUAGGUGGAUUGUUAAGUCAGUUGUGAAAGUGUGCGGCUCAACCGUAAAAUUGCAGUUGAAACUGGCAGUCUUGAGUACAGUAGAGGUGGGCGGAAUUCGUGGUGUAGCGGUGAAAUGCUUAGAUAUCACGAAGAACUCCGAUUGCGAAGGCAGUUCACUGGACUGCAACUGACACUGAGGCUCGAAAGUGUGGGUAUCAAACAGGAUUAGAUACCCUAGUAGUC